rnacentral:rRNA from 1 species
UACGUAGGGGGCAAGCGUUGUCCGGAAUCAUUGGGCGUAAAGAGCGUGUAGGCGGCCAGAUAAGUCCGCUGUGAAAUCUCGAGGCUCAACUUCGAGCUGUCGGUGGAAACUGUCUGGCUAGAGUCCGGAAGAGGAGAAUGGAAUUCCAGGUGUAGCGGUGAAAUGCGUAGAUAUCUGGAGGAACACCGGUGGCGAAGGCGGCAUUCUGGACUGCAACUGACACUGAACGACGAAAGCCAGGGGAGCAAACGGG